AUUUGUCCUGCCGCAGGCAGCCAGAAAACAAAGAAACACCGUGGAACUCGUUCAAAGAAAAUAUCAAACACUCAUCGUGCAAGAAGGACAUAUCACACCAAUGUCAAAAAAAUGAUCGUUUCCUAGUGUUACAAAAAUUCCCUGACAUUGCCAACUAUUAUCAACGGAAAAUAUCAAACUUGUGUGUUUGAGUUACAAACAUCUGUGCUAUACAGUAGUUGCUGACUAACAACCAUCGUCAAAUGAAGGUUACAGUACAUCUGCUACUAGCAAGGCCUGCAUUUGUUGUCCAUCCUACUCUGCCCCCGAGAACAUAGUGACAUGAGAGUUUUGCAGAUGCUGCAAAUCAUGAGCAACACAAAAUAUGUUGGAAGAAGUCAGCAUCCUCUACGGAGGGGAAUCAACAGUCAAGGUUUCAAGCAAAGGCCUAUCUUUAGGUACUCCAUCCGGUUCUCAGCCCGAAAACUGAACUUCCCGUCAUCAAUGCUGCCUGACUUGUUGAGUUCCUCCUGCAUUUUGUGUAUUUUGCUUGAGAAGACAAUUUUGAUUGGACAGCCUACAGAUAACGGACGACACAGAACUGAACCGAGCUGCACUGAACAUGUCUGGAUUCUUUCAUUUUGCUUUUUUUCUUCAGUGUUUGUUUCUCAAUUUUUUUUUGCCAUUUGCUCGAUUUGGUUUGCACAUGGUUGGGGGGGGGUGGAGUUUGAUGUUUUUCUUUCAACGGGUUCCAGGGUUUUCUUUGUUUCAUGGCUGUCUGUGGGAAGAUGAAUCACAGUGUUGUAUACUGCAUACGUAAGAAAUAAAGAAAGAAAUUGCCUUUAAACUCACGAGAGAGCAUAGGCCAUCAACUUUUUGCUGUUAUGUUUCUGUAGCAGACAACUUUUUUACGAGGUCUAGUUGCUAGCUCGACGCUCAAACCAGCACGGAUGGAAAGCGUGCCAGGGGAGCCAGCUGGGUUCGAACUCCGAAGUCCGGCGCUGAUGCCACUACGCUACCAGUUGGCUAUACUGAAUACAUACUUUGAUGAUAAAUGUACUUUGAACUUUCAACAUUAGUGAUUCAUCUUCAAACCUUGAAAAGUACCGGCUAUUUCUCACAACCUGGAUGAAGGUAGACAUUAAUAUAUCAAUACAGACUGAGCUAACUUAGGUGAUUUAGGAAUCACAACCUUCGGUUGACUUAAGUAGUCUUGUUGGAUCAAGGAUAUCUUGCUUCUGCUCCAGAUUUAUGGAUUCUGUGAAAGGCAAGAAGGUCAAUAAGCAAGCCAUAGGUUCUUCAACAGAUAGGUCAGAAUGUGUGUGAUGGAAAUGAAUACGUUUUUGCAGAUCAAAACAUCAAACCUGCUAAAGAAAUUCAUGAGCUACUGGGCAUCAGUGAUCCUUGUUUUCCUCAAUAUUUCUGAGACCUGAACUUUCACUUCAAGGAAGAGACUACUAAUGCCAUCUCUGCAAAAUCAUCUCGAUUAAUUCAAAGGAUGAAUGAAUCAGAGAACUCUCGCAUCUAUUGUGAUGAAAUGCUUUGAGUGGUUGGUCAUGGUCAAAAUCAACUCAUGCCAAAACAAGAGCAUGGACCCUCUGCAAUUUUCCUAUCACCACAAUAGAUCCACAGUGAAUGCAAUCUCACUGGCUCUCUACUUGGCCUUGGAUCACCGGGACAAUAAUGAUACUUACAUCAGCUUGCUGUCUAUUGACUACAGCUCAGCAUUCAACACAAUCAUACUACCAGUUCUAAUCAACAAGUUUCAAAACCUCAGUCUCUGUACCUCCCUCUGUAGCUGGAUCCUUGACUUUCUCACCAUGAGAUCAGUCUGAGCAGAUCAGAACUAACAUUCCUCCUGGCUGACAAUCAACACUGGCGCACCUCAAGGAAAUAUACUUAUCCCACUGCUCUACUCUGUCUGCACCCACAACGAUGUGCAGAGCUCAAAUGCCAUCUAUAAAUUUGCUGAUGACAAAACUAUUGUUGGCAGAGUUUCGGAUGGUGACGAGGAUACAUAUAGGUGAGAGAUAAAUCAGCUGGCUGAGUGGCGUUGCAGCAAAAUCAUUGCAGUCAAUGUCAGUAGGACCUAGGAAUUGAUGGUGGACUUCAGGAAAGGGAAGUCGAGGGAACACACACCAAUCCUCGUUGAGGGAUCAGAAGUGGAAAGGGUGAGCAUUUUCAAGUUUCUGGAUGUCAACAUCACCGAGAAUCUGUCUAGGGCCUAACCAACGGAUGCAAUUACGAAGAACACUUGACAGCCGCGAUCUUCCAUUUGGAGUUUGAAAAUGCUUGCAAAUUUCUACAGAUGUACCGCGAAGAGCAUUCUAACUGGUUCCAUCACCGUACGUUAUGGAGGGUCCACUGCACAGGAUUGGAAAAAGCUGCAGAUAGUUGCAAACUCAACCACCUCCAUCAUGGGCAUUGGCCUCCUCAGCAACCAGGGCAAGUUCAAAAGGAGCAUCCAUCAUUAAGGGCCCCCAUCACCCAGGACAUGCCCCCUUUUCAUUGUUACCAUCAGGGAGGAGGUACAGGAGCCCAAAGGCAUUAACUCAAUGUUUCAGAAACAGCUUCUUCCCCUCCGUCAUUAGUUUUUGAAUGGGCAAUGGACGCAUGAACAUUUCCUCAGUAUUUUCCCUCUCUUUUUGUGCUACUUAUUUAAUCUAUUUUUAUAUAUACUUUUUAAUUAUAGUUUAUAAGUUUUAUUACUAUGUUUGGAAAUGUACUGCUGCUGCAAAACAACACAUUUCAUUACAUAUGCUGUUGAUAUUAAAACUAUUCCAAUUCUGGGAUUCUCAUUCCCAUCACUGAAGCUUGAUGCAUUCAGCUGGUGCUAUGGGGCAGGCCUCAGUGUUCAUAAGAGCUCACAAUGAACUCCUGAAAAAGUCUGUCUGUUCCAAGUUCCAUCAUCAGAUUACAAGGUGGACAGGCCGAUAUACUUAAGAGUCCCACUAACUCUGGGAAUCCCUCACCACCACCACUCAGCGAAGAAGAAGCAUUUGUAGUCUUGUCAAAGUAGAGGAAGGAGAGCACCAACUGACCACCUUCCUGCCACAUCACCAGUACCAGUUCCAUCUGAGGGUGAAUCUAUAGACCCAGUAUCUCUUCUGCCACCUCAGAAUCCACAACGGCCGAUCAGAAGUGAGUCAGCCUCGACCUUGAGAAAUUGAAUGAAAAGGAAAAGGGACUGCAGGAGCCAUUCUUCCAAUAGCCAGCUCUUAGUGAGGUCCACACCCUUGUUACCAACAGUUCACUAAGUCAGUAUCCAGGUUCACUACCAAUGUCUCACUGAUUCAGACUACCACUCUCCAUCCAUCCAUCCCUGGGCACAGCCAAAGGUUGGGUCAUUUCCAUACUCCCCGGUUCUCACUCAGACAGAGACCACUCACCGAGGUGUAGGCCACCACCCCACCCCCCCCAAUUCCUGGGGAUUUCACAUCUCCCUCAGGAAGCUUGUCCCUCAGGUUCAUAAAAAGUCUCUUCCCUCUCACCUUAGAACAAUGCCCUCCUGUUCUUGAUUUCCUCAGGAAAAGACUAAACACAUUCACCUAUCUAUACCCAUCAUGAUUUUAUAAACCUCCAAACUCACAAUUUAUUUUCCUCCAUUCUACUGGAUAAGAUCUUCAACCUCUCAACCACAACCACUCUCCAUAACUCAGUCUGCUGAAUCCAAACAUUCAUUUUGUAAAUAUCCCUUGCGCUCUUUCCAUCUUAUUGCAAUAUUUUCCACAACUGAAUGCAAUAUUCCAAAUGUAGUCUCCCCAACAUCUUCUGUAACUGUAACAUUCCAACUCCUAUACUCAGUACGCUGACCGAUGAAGGCCAGCAUGCCAAAACCUUCUUCACCUGUGUCUACAUGUGACACUACAUUCAGUGAACCUGAGAGCAAUAAAUCUGAAAAUAUCAGCUCGGAUUGCCACCAUUGUGAUUGGAACUCACUGUGCCUUUGUGAUUAAUUUAGUUUCCUACGUAAUAGCAUAAAAGGUCUUCCACACUACAGGGUGAAGGUCCACAAGUGUAGAAUUUUCUACAGUUGUCUAAUAAAAAAUAGUUUUGUAUAUUUUCGGAGCAAAAAUACUGUAUCUCUGAAGCUGAUGAAUAAAUAUCGUUUUGUAGGGAUCCCCAAUGGUUUACAAGAGUUGCGUUAGUUAUUUUGUUUUUUGAGUGAUGUUUCUGUCUCGAAGUUCAUGCUCCUUGGCUUGUUCCAUUGCUGG